UACGUAGGCAGCGAGCGUUGUUCGGAGUUACUGGGCGUAAAGCGUAUGUAGGCGGCUUCGUAAGUCGAGUGUGAAAUCCCAGAGCUUAACUUUGGAACUGCAUUCGAGACUGCAAGGCUUGAGUAUCGGAGAGGUUGGCGGAAUUCCCAGUGUAGCAGUGAAAUGCGCAGAUAUUGGGAGGAACACCGAUGGCGUAAGCAGCCAACUGGACGAUUACUGACGCUGAGAUACGAAAGUAUGGGGAGCAAACAGG
rnacentral:rRNA from 1 species